UUCAGGUGGUUAUAUGCAUGGUACAGGAACAUACAUCGGUCCUGAUAAUUUGACUUACAAGGGACGAUGGAAAUUAAAUUUGAAACAUGGUUUAGGUUAUCAAGUCUACCCAAAUGGAGAUGUUUUUGAAGGUUCUUGGAUGCAGGGAACACCUGAAGGGCCCGGUAAGUAUACAUGGGCUAAUGGAAAUGUUUAUUUGGGGAAUAUGAAAGCAGGGGGGAUGUCGGGGAAAGGAACCCUUACUUGGAUCAAUGGUGACUCAUUUGAAGGAAACUGGCUGGGUGGCAUGAUGCAUGGGUUCGGGGUAUACAUGUGGAGUGAUGGCGGCUGCUAUGUGGGGACGUGGACUAGGGGCCUGAAGGAUGGAAAAGGGUCAUUCUAUCCAAAAGGAAGCCGCCUUCCAGCAGUUCAAGAAAUUUACCUGAAGGCUUUAAGAAAAAGAGGGUUGUUACCUGAUUUAAAAAACAAAAACCAUGCACAUAUUCAUCAUGCUACUUCCGGGGAUAUGGGAAAUUUCAAGGUUGGUGAGAACCAGCAAUCCUCUCGUGGUUCUUCUGAUAAGAUCUCAAAGGGCAGUCUGUUAAAUCUGGAACAGUAUCGCACUAAAAAUGUUUCCCUUGAAAGGCG
rnacentral:misc_RNA from 1 species